rnacentral:rRNA from 1 species
GCGCACCAGGCGAGAAUCCUCCGCAAUGCUCGAAAGAGCGACGGGGGACUCCAAGUGCCUACGCUUUGCGUAGGCUUUUCCCAAGCCUAAAAAGCUUGGGGAAUAAGGGCUGGGUAAGACGGGUGCCAGCCGCCGCGGUAAUACCCGCAGCCCGAGUGGUGGCCGCUUUUAUUGGGCCUAAAGCGUCCGUAGCCGGUCUGGUAAAUGCCUGGGGUAAAUCGUCUGGCUCAACCAGACGAAUUCCGGGUAGACUGCCAGACUAGGGACCGGAGGAAGGAGAGGGUACUCCGGGGGUAGGGGUGAAAUCCUGUAAUCCUCGGAGGACCACCGGUGGCGAAGGCGCUCUCCUAGGACGGGUCCGACGGUGAGGGACGAAAGCCAGGGGAGCAAACCGGAUUAGAUACCCCGGUAGU